rnacentral:rRNA from 1 species
AACUAACGAGGAUUCCCUUAGUAACGGCGAGUGAAGAGGGAUGAGCCCAGCACCGAAGCCUGCGGCAGAUUUGCUGUUAGGCAAUGUGGUGUUCGGGUCGACUGGCGGGACCAUAACUCCACUCGAAGUCCAGCAUUGAGUAUGGUUAUCAUUGGAUUUGGCCCAUAGAGGGUGAGAGGCCCGUACGGGUGGAGGUUCAGACAUGUGAGACGGUUCACCAGGUCGGCCUUAGAGUCGGGUUGUUUGAGAUUGCAGCCCAAAGUGGGUGGUAAACUCCAUCCAAGGCUAAAUACGGGCACGAGUCCGAUAGCGAACAAGUACCGUGAGGGAAAGUUGAAAAGUACUCUGAAGAGAGAGUAAAUAGUACGUGAAACCGCAUGCAGGUAAACGGGUGGCGUCAAACCGCGAGCCCGGAGGAUUCAGCUGAUUGGGUUGUUUUUUUGGCCGGGGUAGAAUUUAGUGGUCCGCUCUCUUUUUGUGGGAGUGGAGCGAAGUACGAGGUGUGUGUGUGUGUGUGAGUGUUGCGCACUUGUGCUGUAGCGCUUGCAACUGCCGCCUCUUCUUAGCUAUACGUGCCGGGUGGGUGCCGGAGUAUGCCACUAAUCUGUGGGGCCACCUAGUCAGUGCAAUUUCUCCGUGGUGAACAUCACGACCGAUGGAAUUGCCAGUCCAUCGUGGUCAAGUCGUGUUUGCCUGACUUUUGAGGGUCUCUUCGGAUACUCUCUAAUAGUUAGGUGAGCGUGAUCGCAGGUGGAGCGGGUAAACGGCGUAGUGGUGCUUCGGUAUUGCUACGUGCUAUCGUGUACUCACCAUCAACGAGUCGCUGUGUAGUGAUGUGACUAGACUAUCAGUGGCUUGGCGGACUGCGGUGGUAAAAAUGACUGUGCAAGGCAUCGGAUUUAUCCACCUCAUACACGUAUAUAUGUGUAUAUUAGCAAUAAUAUAUAUGUAUAUAUGUGUAAUGUAUCCGGCAGGCAUUUCACAUAUGCCAUGGGGGCGCGUUGCCGUGUGUAUGCAUUAUACGUGAUUGUCGUUUUGCCUACAAAAAUGUAGGUGCAGCAGUGGUAUAGUGCAUUUUUAAUAGCGCGCGGUAUUACGCUGUCUUUGAUGCAUGUGAUACUGUGGGUGAAAUAGUCAGUGGUGCUGUGGUAGACGAGCUACCCGACCCGUCUCGAAACACGGACCAAGGAGUUUAACAUGUGUGCGAGUCAAAGGGCUUUACGAAACCCCAAGGCGUAGUGAAAGUAAAAAUUAUAUUGCAUUUAUUGCAGUAUAAUGAGGUGAGAUCCUAUUUGUGCGUGUGUAUACACGUAAUGUGUAUGCACUAGAGCAAUAGGCGCAUCACCGGCCCGUCCCAUGAUGUGGUCAUUGGCAUUGAUAUGUGUGUAUACUUUUGUAUAUACUAGUGUCAGCUAAUGCGUCAUC